rnacentral:rRNA from 1 species
CAGCAGCCGCGGGAAUACGGAGGGGACUAGCGUUGUUCGGAAUUACUGGGCGUAAAGCGCACGUAGGCGGACUGGAAAGUCAGAGGUGAAAUCCCAGGGCUCAACCUUGGAACUGCCUUUGAAACUAUCAGUCUGGAGUUCGAGAGAGGUGAGUGGAAUUCCGAGUGUAGAGGUGAAAUUCGUAGAUAUUCGGGGGAACACCAGUGGCGAAGGCGGCUCACUGGCUCGAUACUGACGCUGAGGUGCGAAAGCGUGGGGAGCAAACAGGAUUAGAUACCCCGGUAGUCCCUGUCUCUUAUAC